rnacentral:misc_RNA from 1 species
UAUUCUAGCUGAACUCAAGCUUAAAUUAGGUCUUACCAGCUGGAAGAGCCAAGUCUGGGUGGUGCUUACUCAAUUAGGCUGUAAUAUGUAAUAGGCACGUGAAUUAAAACAUGUGUUGCUUGUUACAGUUCUAAUUCCAAUUGAAACUGAUUCUUCUUUCAACUUUCUACAUUUUGUAUCACUGCUACUAAAAGUUCAGGCAAGCAAAAUGGCCAAAUCAAAAUGGUGAUGGGGAUCUGAGCUAGGUUUUCCCCUUAAGCAGUAUCCUCCCCUAUUAAUUGAUUUUGUGAGCACAGGUGAUUUAUUAGAUUUGAGAAAUUACUGACAGCAUAUGACUGAAAUAUGCUCUUAUUUUUCUAUUUUGCUGAUCUAAUUUUGAGAACGAGGAAUGGUCUAUUAGAAAAUGGUUAUUGUACCUCCAAAGCUAUUUUGUCAUUUUUCUUAUUGCUGAUCAUAUACGCAAAUUUAUCAAAUGGGAAUAUAGAAAGAAAGAAAAAAAAAAGCAGCCAUGACCAUCUACUAUUUGAGUUGUGUUUCACACUUUGGAUAAUCAUAUUAGUAAAGGAAAUGUAGUUCGUGACAAAUUUGUGAUAGAAAACCCCACAAGCUCAACGUAUACUCAUUCAACAACUCAUAUAUAAGACAAACCAUCUCUGUUGCCAUUGAGUAUCAGUGACAACAACUGGUUGACUUGAUCAUCUCUCCAAUUUCUUGUUUGUGGCUGCAAGUUUCUUCUAAUUGCUGUUCUCUCUUCAACUAGCACCUUAAUGUAAUUUGUCUAGCAUUUGUUUUGUCCUUUAUGUCAACUCCAAGUCACUGGAGCUACUUUUAUGGGUUUCAUGGUGUCAAGUUUCAAAUAAUGAAUAUAAUGUAAUUGGGCGUUUGGAGCUUUGAUGUGGCUUGAAUUUCCUUUUAAGCAGAAGGUGUGUGCUGUAAAAGGGAAGUGGGUUCAUUCAGAUUAGGGAUUUAAUAUAUAAUAUCAUUGUCUAAUUACCUUAAGGUGUCAUUUGCUCACCAGGAAUGAUAGAUCAUGAAAGGCUUGUAAAAAAUAAAAGAGCCUUUUCCAUGGUUUUAUUCCCACAUGAGGGUCAGCUAUUAAAAUUUGGGAUGAAUUGCCGAAUGGGAAUGAAAUCAUUUAAAUUUCAACAAUUUCCUUCUUGCUAAGCUUACUGCACCUUGACAACAUAGCUGGCGUGGAAUUGCACCUUUUCUCAACUUGAUUUGGGUGUUUAAUUAAAUGCAGGUGAUGAUGUGGUUCCUUACAAAUUUGGCGAGAAAUCCUCACGGGUUUUGGCUUCUACUGGAUUCCAGGAUGUGACAUUCAAGGCAUACAAUGGGCUCGGCCACUACACAAUCCCUCAAGAGAUGGACGAGGUCUGCACUUGGCUGACAUCCAAAUUGGGGCUUGAAGGUUGCUCUUCAUGAUAUCAUUAAAGAUUGAGCAACAGCUUGGAGAUUGGAGAUGAUGGAAAAAUGGAAGAUAAAAUUUUUUUUUUUUUUUUUGAAAACAAAGAUAAAAAUUAUUUACAGUUGCAGGAAACAAAACUACGUAGCCCAAAUGUUAUCUGGGUCUGUUGCUCGUGAUAGUUAGAUUUUGCUAUCAGAAAUCUGUUCUUUCUCUUGCACUUAAAGACUCGGGUGAAUUUCAUUUAUGAAUCAUGGGAUUGU